rnacentral:rRNA from 1 species
UACAGAGGUCUCAAGCGUUGUUCGGAUUCAUUGGGCGUAAAGGGUGCGUAGGCGGCGCGGUAAGUCGGGUGUGAAAUCUCGGAGCUUAACUCCGAAACUGCAUUCGAUACUGCCGUGCUUGAGGACUGGAGAGGAGACUGGAAUUUACGGUGUAGCGGUGAAAUGCGUAGAGAUCGGGAGGAACACCCAUGGCGAAGGCGGGUCUCUGGACAGUUCCUGACGCUGAGGCACGAAGGCCAGGGGAGCAAACGGG